UUCGCAAUGCCCGAAAGGGUGACGAAGCGACGCCGCGUGUGGGAAGAAGGCCUUCGGGUUGUAAACCACUGUCGGGAGUUAAGAAAUGCAAGGAUAUGAAUAGUGUCUUUGCUUGACUAAGGCUCCGGAGGAAGCCACGGCUAACUCUGUGCCAGCAGCCGCGGUAAUACAGAGGCGGCAAGCGUUGUUCGGAAUUAUUGGGCGUAAAGAGCACGUAGGCGGCUAUGUAAGUCGGUUGUGAAAGCCUUCCGCUCAACGGGAGAACAGCAUCCGAUACUGCAUGGCUUGAGUGCGGGAGGGGAGAGUGGAACUUCUGGUGGAGCGGUGAAAUGCGUAGAUAUCAGAAGGAACGCCGGCGGCGAAAGCGGCUCUCUGGCCCAUAACUGACGCUGAGUGUGCGAAAGCUAGGGGAGCAAACGGGAUUAGAUACCCCGGUAGUCCUAGCCGUAAACGAUGGGCACUAAGUAGAGGGGUUUU
rnacentral:rRNA from 2 species